ensembl:lncRNA
AUGGGAAGAAGUAAAAAGACUGCGAGAAGAGAUCGAGGCGGAUCGGGAUUCUUAGCGCAGAUGAUCACUGUGUUCGUUUUCACUGUUUUAUCGCUCGUCAACACCGGUUCGGCUCAAGUCUGGUUUCCAUUACAUAUGGCGCUGCCCACAGUCCACUCCGGGGAGGCUUGCAUGCUAUAUGCAACCACAGAUGACAGACUGUUUGCCAGCUCCAGCUUGGGAUGCUCCUGAUGUCAUUUCCUGAUCAUCCAUCUCCUUUUGUGUGUUGUGUUUGUGCCACAAUAGAAGCAAGGAGGCUAAAUGUCCACCCAAAGAUAACCUCUCUGAAGGUCAGCAGACUCUGUAAACACAGCAAACAAGAGCACCAUUGACCGAACUGAGUGGCAUGACGCCCUUCUUCCCCUCUGGCCCAUUACCUCUCAUCGUGUUUAUUCUGCUACUCCAAAUAUUGUUUCAUCACUUUGAAGAAAAACAGCAAACAGCCACGAGGGCGUCUUUAAGGCCGCCAUUUAACGUGGUACGACGUCCAGCCCUGCGGGGUUUGAGGUGCUUCGAACGCGUCUGAAUCAGUUCUUUGAUGCUAACUGGCCCUGACACAAACAAUGCGGCCUUUCACAGCCCUCAUCCUGUUGUAAUUAACUUGCUGAAAACCUUUUCCACCGCGUGUUUUUUUAGGCCGCUUUCCACUGCUGCUUGUUCGAAUGGGCCCAGAGGAAUGCAGAAAGGAUCGCGAACAGAGAGGGAAAGAGAGAGACAGUUCCAGUGAACUUUCCUUAUCUUUUGCCCUUUAAAAAUUACAACAGAGAAAGACACUUGACACAGCAGCACAAAGCAAUGACUCUUUCCCAGUGUGCUGAUGUUAAGCCUCUUGAUUCUUUCUGAAAAACUCUUCUGGGUGAAACAUCACCGAAACACACCAAGAGAGACAAAGAAGAAAAGGGGGAAAGAGUUGGUGUGUCUAGAGUCUGUCAGUUGUCUCGUGAAACUCACUAUGUCAUAAAAUAAUUGUGGGAAGACUCUCAGUGUAUUUAUAAACUGUUUCCUGGAAGCAACUGGGAGACAAAUGGUGCAACGCUCCAGAGUGCUCUCAUAAAAAAACAACAGGACCGAGACAGAACCCCUGCCGUUCUAUGAAACGCACAGCAGACACGCUUGCUCUGUUCCAAAACCGAGCGAGCUACCUACUCAGACAGCAUUUUAAGGUAUCAUGCUGGCUAUUUUUAAAAGCUAGGCACGCUAAUUGUGAUGCCAUUUAAGUUAUCUUCUUUUUGCCAAACUCUUAGUCAGCAAUCACAAAAUGCAGAGCUCAGUGAAAAAAGAAUAAAAGAA